GUCUUCCAAACGCUUAUCCUGGACAGAGUCCCGUCUCCUACCUCCUAAAAACAACAGUCACCAGGGCCGCCAACUUCGUUCAGCUGGCUGAAGUGAGAUUUUCAAUUUGAGACAGGGGGUGGGUUACAGUACCCUUACUUCGUAGGAGAUGGACAUGCGCUGCCCUCCUUGGGCCUGAAGAUGAGGAGAGCACCAGCAAAGCGACCCUGGUCACCCAAACACCAAACAGAAG